UACGAAGGGGACUAGCGUUGUUCGGAAUUACUGGGCGUAAAGCGCACGUAGGCGGAUUCGUAAGCCAGGGGUGAAAUCCCGGGGCUCAACCUCGGAACUGCCUUUGAUACUGCGGAUCUCGAGUCCGAUAGAGGUGGGUGGAAUUCCUAGUGUAGAGGUGAAAUUCGUAGAUAUUAGGAAGAACACCGGUGGCGAAGGCGGCCCACUGGAUCGGUACUGACGCUGAGGUGCGAAAGCGUGGGGAGCGAACAGG
rnacentral:rRNA from 1 species